GCACGCAUAGCUCAGUUGGUUAGAGCGUUCCGUUCACAUCGGAGAGGUCUCUGGUUCGAGUCCAGAUGCGUGCA
rnacentral:tRNA from 1 species